GCUCCGUACUCUGCACGAUCUGGCCAGUGGCCAGCGUUCGAUUGGGAGCCGGGAGUGUUUCGGCGUAGCGCGCUACUGCCUUAUUCCUCUAGAUCCCAGGCAAACAUGAGAGUGAAAGUUCCACACGCGGCCGAGGCACCCGGGGCGGCGAUUGGCUGUUCUCGUUCACCACGUGACCAGGCCUCCGGAGCUGCGAUUGGCUGAGAGCGGAGAGAGGGCGGAAGCCGAGAGGGCGGUGCGCGGAGCUUCUUUGAGCCAAGAGGCAACCAGGCCUUGCAUUUCAUUGUUGCACGGUGUGCAUUUUGCACUCUCGUAUUACAGAGGUUCUCCACACAGCAGGCUUUACCACAAGUUUUCUGCAAGGCCUUGCUGAAAACUCAAAGUUACCUCCAACACCCGACACAAAAAGCGAAUCCCCCGCACCAGAUAUAAAUCAGGUUACACUCUAGCGUGAGAAUCAACGUCGGGGUAAAACUGGCCGAUAUAUGAACACCCCCCCUCCGUCCCAGAGAUGCGAGAUAGAAGGCAAGCCCCGUGUGGAAAACUUCCGGGUGAGGGUUUUCUGCAAACGUUGACGCGUGAAACCAUACAACGACUCGGUAACCUAGAAUGCUGAGCAGUCUUAGCGGUUUGCAUGAUUCCUCCUCGACGUCCCGUACCACUAACCCACCAGUGCUUAAAAAGCCUCGCCUCACUGUGGGCGCCCAAAGGUGUGUGCUAUGCCUUAUGUGUAGAAAAGCAGCUCAGAAGUGUCUCCUUUUGCUCUGGGGGAGUUACAAGGCACAUUUAUUUAUGUAUGUAUUCGAUUUCUAGACCGCCCUUCCAAAAAUGGCUCAGGGCGCUUUGCACAGAGAAAUAACAAAUAAAGAAGAUGGCUCCCUGUCCCCA